GUGCUCUCUUUGACAGCACAUUUACUAAAAUUGGAAUGAUGCAGAGAAGAUUAACAAGGUUACCAGAAAGAUUUUUUAAAUAGAAGAAAUAUAUUUAAAGAUUUU